rnacentral:rRNA from 1 species
CGCCGCCGCCGCACCCACGAACACACAUCAUACAUGGCGCACGCUGGUGACAUGGCGGCUUUCUACGACGCCUGGGUGGGCCGCGAGGAGGAGAUAGUGUCCGACCUCACGGGCGCGCUCGGGGCGCGCCGGCGCGACGCGCUGGCGCCGCUCGUGGACGCCGCCAUGGACCACGUGGCCGCCUACUACGAGCGCAAGGCGAGCCUCGCCGACCGCGACGUGGUGGCCGCGCUCGACCAGCGGUGGCUCAACCCGCUGGAGCGCACCUUCCUGUGGGCGUGGGGGUGGAGGCCCGCGCUGGUGUUCCGCUUCGUGGACGGCUCGGGCGCCGUGGGCCCGCGCCAGCGCCGCGAGCUGGAGGACCUGCGCGCGGCCACGGCGGCCGCCGAGAAGGAGGUGGACCGGGAGGUGGCGGCCAUGCAGGAGUCGCUGGCGGGGCCGCGCGUGCUGGAGGCGCUGCGCCAGCGCCGGCAGCACCCGCGGAACGGCGUCCAGGCCGACGAGGCCGUGGCCGCGGUGGGGCGGUCGCUCCGCGUGCUGCUGGCCGCGGGCGACGCGCUCCGCGAGCGCACGGUGCGCGGCGUCGUCGGGGUGCUGGCCCCGGACGCGGAGCAGGCGGGCGCCUUCGUCGCGGCCAUGCUGAGGUUCCACCUCGGCGUCCACCGCGCUGGGCGCGCCUGGAGCUCCUCCGGCCACGGCGGCGGCCGCCGGGGCCUCUAG